UGCGGGUGUGGGCUCCGCGGAGCAGGACGGAGGCUGGGCCCGGGCCGCGGGCGGGAUAGGAGGCCGACAGGCCCGCUCGCCCGCGCAGGUGGAUGCGGUGCCGCGGCGAUGGACACCCUAGAGGAAGAGAGCUUGGCGCUGUCCUUCUCCUCUGCAUCCGAUGCAGAAUUUGAUGCUGUGGUUGGAUAUCUAGAGGACAUUAUCAUGGAUGACAAGUUCCAGUUAUUACAGAGAAACUUCAUGGACAAGUACUACCAGGAGUUUGAAGAUACAGAAGAGAAUAAACUCAUCUACACACCCAUUUUUAACGAAUAUAUUUCUCUGGUGGAAAAAUAUAUUGAAGAACAGCUACUGGAGCGGAUUCCUGGAUUUAACAUGGCGGCUUUCACAACUACAUUACAGAAAAGGAAGGCCGGGGACUGGACUUAAGCAGUGGCUUAGUGGUGACUUCAUUGUGCAAAUCAUCCUCUAUGCCAGCUUCCCAGAACAAUUUGAGGCACUAGGUCCCAUCUCCAGGCAAUGAACAGGAACAUUCUGGAUGUCACCAGUCUGACAGACUAAGAGAGACUACAGCUAAUGACGACAGAAGAGUCCAUCUCAGAAAGACUCUGUUCUGCAGCACUUGGUUUGUGUUAAGUAUUGACAGGUCAGAAACAACAUGACCGGACUUUUGGACCCACUUCUCCUGACAAGCCGUUUUGUAUUAGUGUUCUUCCCCUCCCCACCUAGUCACCUCUCAGGUGCUUGGGUCAGGCCCCUCUGAUCAUGCCCAGGUCAGCCAU